rnacentral:rRNA from 1 species
AGUGAACGCUGGCGGUAGGCCUAACACAUGCAAGUCGAACGGCAGCACAGUAAGAGCUUGCUCUUACGGGUGGCGAGUGGCGGACGGGUGAGGAAUACAUCGGAAUCUACUUUUUCGUGGGGGAUAACGUAGGGAAACUUACGCUAAUACCGCAUACGACCUACGGGUGAAAGCAGGGGAUCUUCGGACCUUGCGCGAUUGAAUGGGCCGAUGUCGGAUUAGCUAGUUGGCGGGGUAAAGGCCCACCAAGGCGACGAUCCGUAGCUGGUCUGAGAGGAUGAUCAGCCACACUGGAACUGAGACGCGGUCCAGACUCCUACGGGAGGCAGCAGUGGGGAAUAUUGGACAAUGGGCGCAAGCCUGAUCCAGCCAUACCGCGUGGGUGAAGAAGGCCUUCGGGUUGUAAAGCCCUUUUGUUGGGAAAGAAAAGCAGCAGGUUAAUACCCCGCUGUUCUGACGGUACCCAAAGAAUAAGCACCGGCUAACUUCGUG